AUUGAACGCUGGCGGAAUGCUUUACACAUGCAAGUCGAACGGCAGCACGGACUUCGGUCUGGUGGCGAGUGGCGAACGGGUGAGUAAUGUAUCGGAACGUGCCCAGUCGUGGGGGAUAACGUAGUGAAAAUUACGCUAAUACCGCAUACGAUCUAUGGAUGAAAGCGGGGGAUCGCAAGACCUCGCGCGAUUGGAGCGGCCGAUAUCAGAUUAGGUAGUUGGUGGGGUAAAGGCCCACCAAGCCAACGAUCUGUAGCUGGUCUGAGAGGACGACGAGCCACACUGGGACUGAUGCACGGUCCAGACUCCUACGGGAGGCAGCAGUGGGGAAUUUUGGACAAUGGGCGAAAGCCUGAUCCAGCCAUUCCGCGUGCAGGAUGAAGGCCCUCGGGUUGUAAACUGCUUUUGUACAGAACGAAAAGGUUUCUACUAAUACUAGGAGCUCAUGACGGUACUGUAAGAAUAAGCACCGGCUAACUACGUGCCAGCCGCCGCAGUAA
rnacentral:rRNA from 1 species